AUUGAACGCUGGCGGAAUGCUUUACACAUGCAAGUCGAGCGGCAGCACGGGGGUAACCCUGGUGGCGAGCGGCGAACGGGUGAGUAAUACAUCGGAACAUGCCCAGUCGUGGGGGAUAACACUUCGAAAGAAGUGCUAAUACCGCAUACGUCCUGAGGGAGAAAGCGGGGGAUCGCAAGACCUCGCGCGAUUGGAGUGGCCGAUGUCAGAUUAGCUAGUUGGUGGGGUAAAGGCCUACCAAGGCAACGAUCUGUAGCUGGUCUGAGAGGAUGAUCAGCCACACUGGGACUGAGACACGGCCCAGACUCCUACGGGAGGCCGCAGUGGGGAAUUUUGGACAAUGGGGGCAACCCUGAUCCAGCCAUUCCGCGUGAGUGAAGAAGGCCUUCGGGUUGUAAAGCUCUUUCGGCAGGAACGAAACGGUGAGCUCUAACAUAGCUUGCUAAUGACGGUACCUGAAGAAGAAGCACCGGCUAACUACGUG
rnacentral:rRNA from 1 species